CUCCUCCCUCCUCCCCCCUCCCUCCUCUCUCCUCUUUCAACAACAAGCUCUCACUGCAGAAUCCAACAUUUGUCUAUUUAGGCGGUUAAGUUAAGGCAUUAAUUUCGAAUGGUUGAGGUCAGGGUUGAGGUCAGGUUUAAGGUCAGGGUUGAGGUAAGGGUUGAGGUCAGGGUUGAGGUCAGGGUUGAGAAGUGUUGAGGUCAGGGUUGAGGUCAGGGUUGAGGUCAGGGUUGAGGUAAGUGUUGAAGUCAGGUUUAAGGUCAGGGUUGAGGUCAGUGUUGAAGUCAGGUUUAAGGUCAGGGUUGAGGUAAGGGUUGAGGUCAGGUUGAGGUCAGUGUUGAGGUCAGUGUUGAAGUCAGGUUUAAGGUCAGGGUUGAGGUCAGGGUUGAGGUAAGGGUUGAGGUCAGGGUUGAGGUCAGUGUUGAGG
ensembl:lncRNA